UACAGGGGGGGCUAGCGUUGUCCGGAAUCAUUGGGCGUAAAGAGCGUGUAGGCGGCCCGGUAAGUCCGCUGUGAAAGUCGGGGGCUCAACCCUCGAAUGCCGGUGGAUACUGUCGGGCUAGAGUGCGGAAGAGGCGAGUGGAAUUCCUGGUGUAGCGGUGAAAUGCGCAGAUAUCGGGAGGAACACCAGUAGCGAAGGCGGCUCCCUGGGCCAUUCCGUGACGCUGAGACGCGAAAGCUAGGGAGCAAACGG
rnacentral:rRNA from 1 species